CUACGGGGGGCUGCAGUGAGGAAUAUUGCACAAUGGGGGGAACCCUGAUGCAGCAACGCCGCGUGGAGGAUGACGCAUUUCGGUGUGUAAACUCCUUUUAUAUGUCAAGAAAAUGACGGUAGCAUAUGAAUAAGCACCGGCUAACUCCGUGCCAGCAGCCGCGGUAAUACGGAGGGUGCAAGCGUUACUCGGAAUCACUGGGCGUAAAGGACGCGUAGGCGGGUUGGAAAGUCAGGUGUGAAAUCCUACAGCUUAACUGUAGAACUGCACUUGAAACUUCUAAUCUAGAGUAUGGGAGGGGAGAUGGAAUUAGUGGUGUAGGGGUAAAAUCCGUAGAUAUCACUAGGAAUACCUAAAGCGAAGGCGAUCUCCUGGAACAUUACUGACGCUAAGGCGUGAAAGCGUGGGGAGCAAACAGGGUUAGAUACCCGCGUAGUC
rnacentral:rRNA from 1 species